UUCAUCCAGCAUGCUUGGAAAGGCUUCUAGAAGGCCACGUUGGUGGGGGCAGGGUGCCUUCAAAGCACCUGAUCUCUGACCUUUAAAAGACAAACGACAAGGGCGACAAAGCGGCUUGCCAACCUCUGAAGGAGAACCCGAGGCACACUUAGGGGGAUUUCACAGUCGUCUGUGGAAGAUUUGCAUCGAUGGAUGCCCUCCGUCUAUCCUGGAAGAGAAACUCCCUUAAGGUCCAAGGGGCCUGCGUUUGAGAAACAGACUACGGCGGGAGACUUUUCCAAAUUUCAAGGUCAUGCUUGCUUCCUACCAGAGAGCCGUGGAGAAGGUUGUUGGGGAUGCUCUGAUGGUGUCAAGAAACACCUUUGUCAUCCAUUACUGGAGGACAGGUGCCCUGUCCCUGAGUCCUCUGGAUUGACACACUCCCUACCGGGAGACAGAAGGAGGCCAUACAUGGCUUGCAAAGCUCAGAAUGUUGGCACCAGUCCCCUCCCUAAGGUUAUAGAAGUCCUGAAGAACUGGGGGAGAGAGGAGACCUGUGGAGCUGCCGGCAGGUCAAAGCCUUUGCUCACUGACGUUGAAUGGCAGAACGCACUGGCAUAGCACGCCAUCCUUAGCUUCCAUGUCUAAGACGGUGUAAGCAUUGAAAACCAUCAAGGUCCCACAAUGAGACAUCGCUUGAGUAAUCUGGAGAAUUACUGUGUGCGUGGCUCAUGGGGGAACUGCAGCCCCCAGCAAUUCCACAUCUGGAUACACACCCAGAAGCGUGAGAACGCAGAGGCCGGAACAGAUGUUGAUGUAUCUGCACUCAAGGCCGCACAAUCCUAACAGCCAAAAACGUGGACACAACCCAAGCGUUGGCGGCGGGUGAAGCAAGCAGAGAGUGGUGUCUGUCUGUGACGAGUGUGUUAUGACAGACAAGGGACGGGCAUGGUUGUGUCUUCCUGUGUUCUCAGAACUUACUAACAAGUGGCGGUGACUUAAAUGGCAGCAA